rnacentral:rRNA from 1 species
AUUGAACGCUGGCGGCAUGCCUUACACAUGCAAGUCGAACGGUAACAGGUCUUCGGACGCUGACGAGUGGCGAACGGGUGAGUAAUGCAUCGGAACGUGCCCAGUCGUGGGGGAUAACUGCUCGAAAGAGCAGCUAAUACCGCAUACGACCUGAGGGUGAAAGCGGGGGACAGUAAGGCCUCGCGCGAUUGGAGAGGCCGAUGUCAGAUUAGCUAGUUGGUGGGGUAAAGGCCUACCAAGGCAACGAUCUGUAGUUGGUCUGAGAGGACGACCAGCCACACUGGGACUGAGACACGGCCCAGACUCCUACGGGAGGCAGCAGUGGGGAAUUUUGGACAAUGGGCGCAAGCCUGAUCCAGCAAUGCCGCGUGCAGGAAGAAGGCCUUCGGGUUGUAAACUGCUUUUGUCAGGGAAGAAAUCUUCUGGGCUAAUACCCCGGGAGGAUGACGGUACCUGAAGAAUAAGCACCGGCUAACUACGUG